AUUGAACGCUGGCGGCAGGCUUAACACAUGCAAGUCGAGCGGAGAUGAGGUGCUUGCACCUUAUCUUAGCGGCAGACGGGUGAGUAAUGCUUAGGAAUCUGCCUAUUAGUGGGGGACAACAUUCCGAAAGGAAUGCUAAUACCGCAUACGUCCUACGGGAGAAAGCAGGGGAUCUUCGGACCUUGCGCUAAUAGAUGAGCCUAAGUCGGAUUAGCUAGUUGGUGGGGUAAAGGCCUACCAAGGCGACGAUCUGUAGCGGGUCUGAGAGGAUGAUCCGCCACACUGGGACUGAGGCACGGCCCAGACUCCUACGGGAGGCAGCAGUGGGGAAUAUUGGACAAUGGGGGGAACCCCGGUCCAGCCAUGCCGCGUGUGUGAAGAAGGCCUUAUGGUUGUAAAGCACUCUAAGCGAGGAGGAGGCUACUGAGACUAAUACUCUUGGAUAGUGGACGUUACUCGCAGAAUAAGCACCGGCUAACUCUGUGCCAGCCGCCGCCGUAAUAC
rnacentral:rRNA from 1 species